AAGCGUAAUAGCUCACUAGUCGAGUCGGCCUGCGCGGAAGAUGUAACGGGGCUAAAACUAUAUGCCGAAGCUGCGGAUUUGCAAUUUAUUGCAAGUGGUAGGGGAGCGUUCUGUAAGCCGAUGAAGGUGUAUUGAGAAGUAUGCUGGAGGUAUCAGAAGUGCGAAUGCUGACGUGAGUAACGACAAUGCGAGUGAAAAACUCGCACGCUGAAAGACCAAGGGUUCCAGUCCAACGUUAAUCGGGGCUGGGUGAGUCGACCCCUAAGGCGAGGCCGAGAGGCGUAGUCGAUGGGAAAUUGGUUAAUAUUCCAAUACUUCUAUGUAAUGCGAUGAGAGGACGGAGAAGGUUAAGUCAGCCUGGCGUUGGUUGUCCAGGUGGAAGGUUGUAGGCAUGUAUCUUAGGCAAAUCCGGGGUACUCUAUGCUGAGAACUGAUAGCAAGCUGUACUUGUACAGUGAAGUGGCUGAUACCAUGCUUCCAGGAAAAGUCUCUAAGCUUCAGUUACAUAGGAAUCGUACCCGAAACCGACACAGGUGGUCAGGUCGAGUAGACCAAAGCGCUUGAGAGAACUCUGCUGAAGGAACUAGGCAAAAUGGUACCGUAACUUCGGGAGAAGGUACGCUGCCGACGGUGAUAGGAUUUACUCCUUGAGCUAUUGGCAGCCACAGAAACCAGGCCCCUGCAACUGUUUAUUAAAAACAUAGCACUCUGCAAACACGAAAGUGGACGUAUAGGGUGUGAUGCCUGCCCGGUGCUGGAAGGUUAAUUGAUGGGGUUAGCGUAAGCGAAGCUCUUGAUCGAAGCCCCAGUAAACGGCGGCCGUAACUAUAACGGUCCUAAGGUAGCGAAAUUCCUUGUCGGGUAAGUUCCGACCUGCACGAAUGGCAUAAUGAUGGGGGCGCUGUCUCCAGCAGAGACUCAGUGAAAUCGAAUUCGCCGUGAAGAUGCGGUGUACCCGCGGCUAGACGGAAAGACCCCGUGAACCUUUACUGCAGCUUGACAUUGAACUUUGAUCUUACUUGUGUAGGAUAGGUGGGAGGCUUUGAAACCGAGACGCUAGUUUCGGUGGAGCCAAUCUUGAAAUACCACCCUGGUAAUAUUGAGGUUCUAACUCUGUCCCGUUAUCCGGGACGAGGACCAUGUCUGGUGGGUAGUUUGACUGGGGCGGUCUCCUCCUAAAGAGUAACGGAGGAGUACGAAGGUGCGCUCAGCGUGGUCGGAAAUCACGCGUAGAGUAUAAAGGCAAAAGCGCGCUUAACUGCGAGACCCACAAGUCGAGCAGGUACGAAAGUAGGUCUUAGUGAUCCGGUGGUUCUGUAUGGAAGGGCCAUCGCUCAACGGAUAAAAGGUACUCUGGGGAUAACAGGCUGAUACCGCCCAAGAGUUCAUAUCGACGGCGGUGUUUGGCACCUCGAUGUCGGCUCAUCUCAUCCUGGGGCUGAAGCAGGUCCCAAGGGUAUGGCUGUUCGCCAUUUAAAGAGGUACGCGAGCUGGGUUUAGAACGUCGUGAGACAGUUCGGUCCCUAUCUACCGUGGGCGUUGGAAAUUUGAGAGGAUCUGCUCCUAGUACGAGAGGACCAGAGUGGACGAACCUCUGGUGUACCGGUUGUGACGCCAGUCGCAUCGCCGGGUAGCUAUGUUCGGAAGGGAUAACCGCUGAAAGCAUCUAAGCGGGAAGCCUACCUCAAGAUAAGAUUUCCCUAGGACUUUAUGUCCUCUAAAGAGCCGUUGAAGACUACGACGUUGAUAGGUUGGAUGUGGAAGCAUAGUGAUAUGUGAAGCUGACCAAUACUAAUUGCUCGUGAGGCUUGACU
rnacentral:rRNA from 1 species